rnacentral:rRNA from 1 species
CGGCGGACGGGUGAGUAACGCGUGGGAAACCUGCCCUGUACCGGGGGAUAACACUUAGAAAUAGGUGCUAAUACCGCAUAAGCGCACAGCUUCACAUGAAGCAGUGUGAAAAACUCCGGUGGUACAGGAUGGUCCCGCGUCUGAUUAGCCAGUUGGCAGGGUAACGGCCUACCAAAGCGACGAUCAGUAGCCGGCCUGAGAGGGUGAACGGCCACAUUGGGACUGAGACACGGCCCAA